GUUUUCUUUAUUAUAAUAUUAGUUUUAAUUAAUACGUUAGUUUGCUUUUGGUUAACUUUGUGUUAUUGAUUUUCUUAUUCUGUGUGGUUAGAGAAUAUCCCUGUAUGAUAACAAUUUUUUCAAAUAUUUGUUGAGACUUGCUUUGUGGCUGAGUAUUUUUCAAAUGCUCCACGUGCAGGGUUCUAGAUAAUAGAUAUGUUACUCAUUAUUAAUAGAAUUAGCUGCUCUGUUUAGAUCUUUCUCUAUUUCUUUACUUUCAGUCUUCCUAUAUCUUUAGAUUUUAAGCAUGUUCCUUAUAAACAGCACAUAUCUAGAUUUGUUUUAAUUCAAUAUUACAAUCACUGUUAACUAAAGAGUUUAGUCCAUUUACCUUAUUAUACUUACUUACAUUGUUGAAUUUAUUUUUCCUCUUGUUUUUAGGCUUAUUAUUUACCCUGCUUUUUGUGUGCUUUUGUCCUUUUUCCUUUUAUAAUUUCUACUAAAUUAAAGAUUUUUAAAAAUCUUUCCUCUUUUCCACCUCUAGUUGGUUUGAAAAUUAUGCAUUAUAUUUCUACUUCUUUAGUUACCUUUGAACUUAUACCAUAAAUCAUUGAUUUAGGAAGUCCUCACCUUCAGUAAUAAUAGAAAAAAAUGUAAUUAACCCAUCAAGUUUCUAAUAUUUAGUUCCACCUUAUUUUUCUAUAUCCCAGAAGUUAAUCACUAUGAUGAUAUAAUAAGCCAUUAUCACUACUAUUAAGGCAAUGCUUACUCAGAUUUACUUCAUGUUUACCAACUUCUUGGUUUGUUCUUUCUUGUAUCUCACCCCUUCUUUCUGAAUUCAAUUUUCUUCUUCUUAAACCACAUCUGCUAGUAGUUCAUUAGUGAGAGUCUCUUAUAUUGUUAAAUUAAGCCAUAGGCUAUUUCUGAGUUUCAGCAGUUUGUUACCUACAACUUAUGGUUCAACCUACUGGUAGAUUCUCUCAGUAUUUUAUUUCUCAGUAUUUUGCUCUUAUAUUUUGCAUAAGCUC
rnacentral:lncRNA from 10 species